rfam:Ixodes scapularis strain Wikel colony gcontig_1108379359434, whole genome shotgun sequence.
AGAGCGGUCCUUUUAAGGACCAUUCACAUACUGCAAAAUCGGAUU